CUUAAGGCAAAGGAUCAAUAGCCAUUUUAGUUUGCCCUGGGAACAGUGCUACUGACUGGCUUCUGGUGCUGGGUAGGUGUAUCCAGGUCACACAUUCUUCCAGGGCUCAAUAGCUCACAAUUUGCCUUUUGCAUUUGCUUUUGGGCAUCGCAGAGCAAAUCUACUGAUUUGCUCUGGUUUGCAACCAGGACAGAGUAGUCUAAGAUCCUUGCAUUAGUUUCCCCUGUAUCUUGGCUCUUUACCCCAGCUCCUUGCUCCAGGAUGCCUACACUGUGGUCGGUGCUUGUCAGCCUCUUCCCCUGCCCAACUAAAACAGACUUUUUCUGAAGUUUUUGCAAAGUUUCCUCUUUUGGAAAUUUGUUACAUUCCAAAUAUUUGUGGGUUCUGUCACUCCAAAACAAGUUCAGAGACUUAAUUUGCUGUUAAUUUGAGGGAAACUUGGAGGAGAUCACAUAGAAAUGUGUCUACUCUCUACCAUCUUCUUAAAAAGUAAAAGAAAGAAAAAGAAAAAAAACUUUCCCUAACUUAUCUUACUAAUGCCUUCCUUGGAAUCACACAUGGAGAUAUAAUUUAGUAAGAAAGUUAGAGCUGAUGAUCUAAGAAAAAGAGGACAGGUUGAAUAACAAAGGCAAAGAGUUGUUGGUGGGUUUUUCGUCAUCUUACCUAAAAGGUAACAUACCAUAAAUAAACAAAAAGCAUCAUAAAUAUAGGUGGUGAUUUGAGUGACUUCCUAGGAAAAAAAUUAAAUAUAUCAGGAAGAUAAAACAGAUGUACUAUUUAACUCAAAUAUUUACUUUUCAGAUGCUUUGAAAUGGGAUUCUCCAAGUAAUAAUCAGAAAAAACGAGUCACAGAAUUUCCAAGAAUUAAAAGUUUCAAAGGAAUUAUCCUUGCAAAUCACUGCCACUGAGUAACAAUCAGUUAACAUCCACAGAAUUUGGAAAGAGUCCAUUAAAAGAAGAUGAUCAGCUGCAGCUGGGAGUGGUCCUGACACUGACUAUAAGGUUGGAGUUCAAGUAGAAAAACUAGUUCCCCAGAAGCAGUGUAAACCACCUUUAGGAAAAGAGAAAUGGAAAGAACAUAAGAAAGAUACAUUGACUUGCUUCUGGGACCUAGAUCAAACCUUUGUUUGUCAGCUACAAACUGUCAGCCACACUACAGACCCAUCCCCCUCCCGGACUAAGAAUCAUCCCUGUUCGGCAGGAAGAAGCAAUUGACAGCCAUCGCCCACUUUUCCUGAUGCAAUUUGGACUGAUGGGGGGGGAGUGGGAAAGUGGUCGACUUGUUAGAAUUUUCACUGUAUUACUGUGCUGUAUUUAAGACUUGGAAUGGAAAUUGUUAAACUUGUGUAAUUAUUGCUGUUAUGUUUGAGGG
rnacentral:lncRNA from 1 species